GACGAACGCUGGCGGCGUGCUUAACACAUGCCAGUCGAACGGAAGGGCCCUGCUUUUGUGGGGUGCUCGAGUGGCGAACGGGUGAGUAACACGUGAGUAACCUGCCCUUGACUUUGGGAUAACUUCAGGAAACUGGGGCUAAUACCGGAUAGGAGCUCCUGCUGCAUGGUGGGGGUUGGAAAGUUUCGGCGGUUGGGGAUGGACUCGCGGCUUAUCAGCUUGUUGGUGGGGUAGUGGCUUACCAAGGCUUUGACGGGUAGCCGGCCUGGGAGGGUGACCGGCCACAUUGGGACUGAGAUACGGCCCAGACUCCUACGGGAGGCAGCAGUGGGGAAUAUUGCACAAUGGGCGGAAGCCUGAUGCAGCAACGCCGCGUGCGGGAUGACGGCCUUCGGGUUGUAAACCGCUUUCGCCUGUGACGAAGCGUGAGUGACGGUAAUGGGUAAAGAAGCACCGGCUAACUACGUG
rnacentral:rRNA from 1 species